ACGCUGGCGGCUGCUUACACCUGCAAGGUUAAACGGCAGCACGGGAGCAUCUGGUGGUUAGUGGCGAACGGGUGAGUAAUAUAUCGGAACGUGCCCAGUCGUGGGGGAUAACUGCAGCGAAAGCUGUGCUAAUACCGCAUACGAUCUACGGAUGAAAGCGGGGGAUCGCAAGACCUCGCGCGAUUGGAGCGGCCGAUAUCAGAUUAGCUAGUUGGUGGGGUAAAGGCCCACCAAGGCGACGAUCUGUAGCUGGUCUGAGAGGACGACCAGCCACACUGGAACUGAGACACGGUCCAGACUCCUACGGGAGGCAGCAGUGGGGAAUUUUGGACAAUGGGCGCAAGCCUGAUCCAGCAAUGCCGCGUGCAGGAUGAAGGCCUUCGGGUUGUAAACUGCUUUUGUACGGAACGAAACGGUGAGCUCUAAUAAAGUUUGCUAAUGACGGUACCGUAAGAAUAAGCACCGGCUAACUACGUGCCAGCAGCCGCGGUAAUACGUAGGGUGCGAGCGUUAAUCGGAAUUACUGGGCGUAAAAGCGUGCGCAAGGCGGUUAUGUAAGACAGAUGUGAAAUCCCCGGGCUCAACCUGGGACCUGCAUUUGUGACUGCAUAGCUAGAGUACGGUAGAGGGGGAUGGGAAUUCCCGGCGUUGUAGCAGUGAAAUGCGUAGAUAUGCGGGAGGAACCCCGUUGGCGCAGGGCCAUCCCCUUGGACCUUGUUCUGACGGCUCCAUGCCGAAAAGCGUGGGGAGCACACGGGUUUCGUUCCCUGUAGUC
rnacentral:rRNA from 1 species